CUUUCUAUAUUAACAAAGGCCACGCUGUUUUCUUAACCAUUAAACAAGUGCUUUUACUGCCAAAAUAAAAGCCCAAACAAGUUUAGCACUGCCGUAGUCGCUACAGCAGUAAAUAGCUUACUGAGAAAAUAUCCUCAUAUGACUAGUGUAGUCAGACAGUAUAUCCCCUUCCUGGUCCAGUCCACUGAAGGACUCUGGUUCCAGUAUGAGCAAACCCUUUGAAGGCCAUGAAUUACUGCCAGACAAAAAUGUCCGCGAUAAGCGUGCCUGCAACAUUUAACACCUGCAUUAUGUGCUUCAGCCUGGCCCAUGCCUGCGGAGCAUACAUGAGAUGAGUUCAAUGGAACUGACUGCUUGAGAUCCUAAUGCUAAGACGUAACAUUAUUAUAAAGACCAAGGUACAGUAAAUGACAGUAUUUCAGCCCCAUAAAAGUGUUCCAUUAAAGUGUUUCCUCCGGCUAAAACCACCCGAGCACCACGGCAAGAAAAUCAACAUACAAAUGAGUUUCUCCGGGUAAAUGUUUGGCAAGAACUCACCAUAACAACUUACUGCCACUAUCAGUAACUCUGAUUUAAGUUAGUGGUACGUUAAGCCCGACGCCACCCCAAGCCGAAGGAGGCCGGAGAUAAAGGCGAAGGGUGUGUGGGAGCGCAGAGAAGAAAAAGCAAGGCUUCGCCGAGGCAAAGUGCCAAGGCUCCGGCGCAGACCUUCCUCCGCCGAAAAAGUGGGAAAUCUGCGAAAGUGGAAACUCAAGGUUGCAAACAAACAGCGCGAGGAUUCCCAGUAUGAGCCCCAGGGGAGGCAUUAGCCGAGCGCUGACGAGGUUUGUAAAAUAGAAGCAAGCACAUGAAAUGUCAGUCGUUCAAAAGGAAACCCGGCUCUAAAUGAAUUAUUGUUUAUAGAGCGUUUUUAAAAUUAAGAUCUUCGCUUCAGGCGUCUGAAUAAGCGCCGGGACUCCUGUGGUUUCUGCUGCCGGGCGCUUCUUGUCCUCCUCUCCGCUCCUCGGAGGCCGGGUUGAAAAGGCUCCACCGCCGGUCCGACGCGGGCCGCGCCGCCGAGACGGACGUCCCAGAAAAGACCAAGACACAGUUCGAUCGGCGUCUCCCUCGACUGCGACAGUGACUGUGAAGCGCCUGGAACAGGAGACGCCUGCACAGCACUGUCAAAAUUCACCAGUUGGUCCUCGACGAGGCUGGAAG
rnacentral:lncRNA from 1 species